GACGAACGCUGGCGGCGUGCUUAACACAUGCAAGUCGAACGGAAAGGCCCCUUCGGGGGUACUCGAGUGGCGAACGGGUGAGUAACACGUGAGUAACCUGCCCUGACUUCGGGAUAACUUCAGGAAACUGGGGCUAAUACCGGAUAGGAAUCCUUGCUGCAUGGUGGGGGUUGGAAAGCUUCGGCGGUUUUGGAUGGACUCGCGGCUUAUCAGCUUGUUGGUGGGGUAGUGGCUUACCAAGGGUUUGACGGGUAGCCGGCCUGAGAGGGCGAACGGCCACAUUGGGACCGAGAUGCGGCCCAGACUCCUACGGGAGGCGUCAGUGGGGAAUAUUGCACAAUGGGCAGAAGCCUGAUGCAGCAGCGCCACGUGCGGGAUGACGGCCUUCGGGUUGUAAACCGCUUUCAGCAGGGGCGAAGCUUGUGGUGACGGUACCUUCAGAAGAAGCACCGGCUAACUACGUG
rnacentral:rRNA from 1 species